ACGGCCAGGUCACGUUGAAACACCGGUUUCCGCACGAUUACACAAGUUAAGCAGCGUCGAGCCUGAUAAGUAGCAAGAUGGGUGACCGCUUGGGAAUACCAGACUC